rnacentral:lncRNA from 1 species
CGGUGUACAAGGGCGUCCGCCGAAGGGGCGCCGCCGGGCGGUGGGUCUGCGAGGUGCGGGAGCCCAACAAGAAGACCAGGAUCUGGCUGGGCACGUUCCCCACGGCCGAGAUGGCGGCGCGCGCGCACGAUGUCGCUGCGAUGAUGCUCCGGGGCCGCUCCGCCUGUCUCAACUUCGCCGACUCCGCGUGGCGCCUCCGCGUUCCGCCCUCCUUCUCGAGCUCCAGGGACAUCGCGCGGGCCGCGGCGGAGGCCGCGGAGGCGUUCCGGCCGUCAUCGGACUCCAGCGGCGACGCUGCGUCCCCCCCGAUGACAGAGAGCUCAGCACACGCAUCACCAUCGUUGCCCACGACGGCCAC